AACUUAGGGGCCUAAAGAGGAAACUCCCCUAGAGGGGAAAGCUGCACUUCAUAGCAUGAUUUGAUGUGGAAAACCUUCUUCACAGACCUUUAGAGGGACUUAUUUGUUGUAUAAGGCAAGAUACACCUAGAAGAGAUAAAGACGAGACAAGCACAGCGAAGAUGAGAAAGAGCCACGGUGUGUGCAGCCAAGGGCAGGGAAGAAGGCAGAUGGGAGCCAGGAGCCCCGGGUCCGGAGCCCGUCUGCCCCUCACCUGCUGUGUGGCCACAGUCAAGUCUCUCCUCUUCCUCUGUAAAUGAGGGUGGGGAGAGAGACCAUCUCUGAGGCCCUCCCAGCUCUCAAGUCAGAACUGAAGUCCCCAACGCUGCUUUGGGGGAGCCCAUCCUCAGGCGGACACCUGUAAGGCAUCAAGGGAAGGACAAAACUGUGCCCAUGCAGAAGCCCCAUGGGACUAGCCAGAGAAGCCAAAUCUGUGCCUGCAUAUGAACCUGGCCUUGAAACUGGAAGCUACAAAUCAGAAGCCUGGAGAGAUUGAUUAGCGUCUCUUCUGACAGCAUCGAAUGCAAAGCAAAGCCCACCUCCUGGAACCCUCCUCCUCCUCCAAGCACUUAAAACAAGCCCAAAUCCUAGAAGUCCUAACAUCUUCUUAUUCCCCAUAAGGUGCCUUCCUCCUUUGUUGCGUUUGGGCGUGUGGCAGGCGACGUGUUCACCCCGAACUACAACUACCCGCUGUGUGCUCUUCAGGCUUUCCAGCUUCGACAGCAAACUGGCCUGGGAAUGAGAGAAACAGCAAGGGCUGGGCUUUCUCACCCAGAGCUUUCAAUCGCCUCCUUUGCUCUUGCCCCAGGACAUAAAGAGCGACUGCCUGCCCCUGUGGGAAUAA